UACGGGGGGAGCAAGCGUUGUUCGGGUUUACUGGGCGUAAAGGGCGCGUAGGCGGCCAGCACAAGUCAGUUGUGAAAUCUCCGGGCUUAACUCGGAAAGGUCAACUGAUACUGUGCGGCUAGAGUGCAGAAGGGGCAACUGGAAUUCUCGGUGUAGCGGUGAAAUGCGUAGAUAUCGAGAGGAACACCUGCGGCGAAGGCGGGUUGCUGGGCUGACACUGACGCUGAUGCGCGAAAGCCAGGGGAGCGAACGGG
rnacentral:rRNA from 1 species